rnacentral:rRNA from 1 species
CGUAACAAGGUCUCCGUUGGUGAACCAGCGGAGGGAUCAUUACCGAGUUUACAACUCCCAAACCCCUGUGAACAUACCUUAUGUUGCCUCGGCGGAUCAGCCCGCGCCCCGUAAAAAGGGACGGCCCGCCGCAGGAACCCUAAACUCUGUUUUUAGUGGAACUUCUGAGUAUAAAAAACAAAUAAAUCAAAACUUUCAACAACGGAUCUCUUGGUUCUGGCAUCGAUGAAGAACGCAGCAAAAUGCGAUAAGUAAUGUGAAUUGCAGAAUUCAGUGAAUCAUCGAAUCUUUGAACGCACAUUGCGCCCGCCAGUAUUCUGGCGGGCAUGCCUGUUCGAGCGUCAUUUCAACCCUCAAGCCCAGCUUGGUGUUGGGAGCUGCAGUCCUGCUGCACUCCCCAAAUACAUUGGCGGUCACGUCGAGCUUCCAUAGCGUAGUAAUUUACAUAUCGUUACUGGUAAUCGUCGCGGCCACGCCGUUAAACCCCAACUUCUGAAUGUUGACCUCGGAUCAGGUAGGAAUACCCGCUGAACUUAAGCAUAUCAA